GAUGAAGAACGCAGCGAAAUGCGAUAAGUAAUGUGAAUUGCAGAAUUCAGUGAAUCAUCGAAUCUUUGAACGCACAUUGCGCCCGCCAGUAUUCUGGCGAGCAUGCCUGUUCGAGCGUCAUUUCAACCAUCAAGCCCCAGGCUUGUGUUGGAGCCCUGCGGCUGCCGCAGCCUCCCAAAACCAGUGGCGGGCUCGCUAUCACACCGAGUGCAGUAGUUUACUCUUCGCUCAGGGCGUGUGGCGGGUGCUAGCCGUGAAACCCCCAACUUCUCAAGGUUGACCUCUGAUCAGGUAGGAAUACCCGCUGAACUUAAGCAUAUCAAUAAGCGGAGGA
rnacentral:misc_RNA from 1 species